rnacentral:rRNA from 1 species
UACGGAGGGUGCGAGCGUUGUCCGGAAUUACUGGGCGUAAAGCGCACGUAGGCGGCUUUGUAAGUUAGAGGUGAAAGCCCGGGGCUCAACUCCGGAAUUGCCUUUAAGACUGCAUCGCUAGAAUUGUGGAGAGGUAAGUGGAAUUCCGAGUGUAGAGGUGAAAUUCGUAGAUAUUCGGAAGAACACCAGUGGCGAAGGCGACUUACUGGACACAUAUUGACGCUGAGGUGCGAAAGCGUGGGGAGCAAACAGGG